rnacentral:miRNA from 1 species
AAGAAAAAUGUAGUUGUGCAAAUCUAUG